AUCGCUCGCGUUGUUUAACUGACAUGAUUGUGGGACGUCCUACCGGUGGACUUAGCCUCUAUCUCUUCGGAUCUAGGGGCGGUCCAGCUAAUAUCCCAUCGCGGAUGCUUUUCAUCGAGUGUCGAGGUGGGCCGGUACGUUUACAUUUGAACAAAUUAGAGUGCUCAAAGCAGGCCAUCCUCGCCUGAAUACUGUGUGCAUGGAAUAAUGGAAUANGACCUCGGUUC
rnacentral:rRNA from 1 species